rnacentral:misc_RNA from 1 species
GAUGAAGAACGUAGCGAAAUGCGAUACGUAAUGUGAAUUGCAGAAUUCAGUGAAUUAUCGAGUCUUUGAACGCACAUUGCGCCCCCUGGUAUUCCGGGGGGCAUGCCUGUCCGAGCGUCAUUGCUGCCUUCAAGCACGGCUUGUGUGUUGGGCCUCCGUCCUCCUCCCGGGGGACGGGCCCGAAAGGCAGCGGCGGCACCGCGUCCGGUCCUCGAGCGUAUGGGGCUUCGUCACCCGCUCUUGUAGGCCCGGCCGGCGCUUGCCGACACAUCAAUCUUUUUUCCAGGUUGACCUCGGAUCAGGUAGGGAUACCCGCUGAACUUAAGCAUAUCAAUAAGCGGAGGA